UGGGGAAUUUUGGACAAUGGGGGCAACCCUGAUCCAGCAAUGCCGCGUGAGUGAAGAAGGCCCUCGGGUUGUAAAGCUCUUUUGUCAGGGAAGAAACGGAGUUCUCUAAUAUAGGAUUCUAAUGACGGUACCUGAAGAAUAAGCACCGGCUAACUACGUGCCAGCAGCCGCGGUAAUACCUAAGGUGCAAGCGUUAAUCGGAAUUACUGGGCGUAAAGCGUGCGCAGGCGGUUUUGUAAGUCUGAUGUGAAAUCCCCGGGCUCAACCUGGGAACUGCAUUGGAGACUGCAAGGCUAGAGUGUGUCAGAGGGGGGUAGAAUUCCACGUGUAGCAGUGAAAUGCGUAGAGAUGUGGAGGAAUACCGAUGGCGAAGGCAGCCCCCUGGGAUAACACUGACGCUCAUGCACGAAAGCGUGGGGAGCAAACAG
rnacentral:rRNA from 1 species